GAGCCUAAGUCGGAUUAGCUAGUUGGUGGGGUAAAGGCCUACCAAGGCGACGAUCUGUAGCGGGUCUGAGAGGAUGAUCCGCCACACUGGGACUGAGACACGGCCCAGACUCCUACGGGAGGCAGCAGUGGGGAAUAUUGGACAAUGGGCGCAAGCCUGAUCCAGCCAUGCCGCGUGUGUGAAGAAGGCCUUAUGGUUGUAAAGCACUUUAAGCGAGGAGGAGGCUACUUUAGUUAAUACCUAGAGAUAGUGGACGUUACUCGCAGAAUAAGCACCGGCUAACUCUGUGCCAGCAGCCGCGGUAAUACAGAGGGUGCAAGCGUUAAUCGGAUUUACUGGGCGUAAAGCGCGCGUAGGCGGCUAAUUAAGUCAAAUGUGAAAUCCCCGAGCUUAACUUGGGAAUUGCAUUCGAUACUGGUUAGCUAGAGUGUGGGAGAGGAUGGUAGAAUUCCAGGUGUAGCGGUGAAAUGCGUAGAGAUCUGGAGGAAUACCGAUGGCGAAGGCAGCCAUCUGGCCUAACACUGACGCUGAGGUGCGAAAGCAUGGGGAGCAAACAGGAUUAGAUACCCUGGUAGUCCAUGCCGUAAACGAUGUCUACUAGCCGUUGGGGCCUUU
rnacentral:rRNA from 1 species